UGAGCAAUCUGCCCUUCUCUUUGGAAUAAGCGUUGGAAACGACGUCUAAUGCCGAAUACGACCUCCUUUCGCAUGAUCGGAGGUGGAAAGCUCCGGCGGAGAAGGAUGAGCUCGCGGCCUAUCAGCUAGUUGGUGUGGGUAAUGGCCCACAAGGCGACGACGGGUAGCUGGUCCGAGAGGAUGACCAGCCACAUUGGGACUGAGACACGGCCCAGACUCCGUAGGGAGG
rnacentral:rRNA from 1 species